AGGGGGGGCAACCCCCCGAGUAGAGUGGCGAACGGGUGAGUAAUACAUCGGAACGUGUCCAGUAGCGGGGGAUAACCUCUCGAAAGAGAGGCUAAUACCGCAUACGACCUACGGGUGAAAGAGGGGGAUCGCAAGACCUCUCACUAUUGGAGCGGCCGAUGUCGGAUUAGCUAGUUGGCGGGGUAAAAGCCCACCAAGGCUACGAUCCGUAGCUGGUCUGAGAGGACGGCCAGCCACACUGGAACUGAGACACGGUCCAGACUCCUACGGGAGGCAGCAGUGGGGAAUUUUGGACAAUGGGCGCAAGCCUGAUCCAGCCAUGCCGCGUGAGUGAAGAAGGCCUUCGGGUUGUAAAGCUCUUUCGGCGGGAACGAAAAGGUCCGUGUUAACACCAUGGAUCCAUGACGGUACCCGCAGAAGAAGCACCGGCUAACUACGUGCCAGCAGCCGCGGUAAUACGUAGGGUGCAGGCGUUAAUCGGAAUUACUGGGCGUAAAGCGUGCGCAGGCGGUUUGCUAAGACAGGUGUGAAAUCCCCGGGCUUAACCUGGGAACUGCGCUUGUAGCUGGCAAGCUAGAGUGUGGCAGAGGGGGGUGGAAUUCCAGGUGUAGCAGUGAAAUGCGUAGAGAUCUGGAGGAACACCGAUGGCGAA
rnacentral:rRNA from 1 species